rnacentral:rRNA from 1 species
AGUGAACGCUGGCGGUAGGCCUAACACAUGCAAGUCGAACGGCAGCACAGUAAGAGUUUGCUCUUACGGGUGGCGAGUGGCGGAGGGGUGAGGAAUAAAUCGGAAUCUACUUUUUCGUGGGGGAUAUGGUAGGGAAACUUACGCUAAUACUGUAGACGACCUACGGGCGAAUGCAGGGGAUGUUCGGACUUUGCGCGACUGAAUGAGCCGAUGUCGGAUUAGUGAGUUUGCGGGGCAAAGCACUAACAAGGCGACUACCCGUAGCUGGUCUGAGACGAGGAUCAUCCACACUGGAACUGAGACACAGUCCAAACUCCUACAAAAGCCAGCAGUGAGGAAUAUUGGACAAUGGGCGCAAGCCUAUUCCAGCCAUACCGCGUUUGUUAAGAAGGCCUUCGGGUUGUAAAGCCCUUUUGUUAGGAAAGAAAAGCAUCAAGUUAAUACCCCGCUGUUCUGACGGUACCCAAAGAAUAAGCACCGGCUAACUUCGUG